AUUCAAAUAGCUUAUAUUUAGAGCGUGACACUGAAGAUGUUAAAGAGAUUUACUUUAAUCUUUGAAUA
rnacentral:tRNA from 1 species